AAAGUCGUAACAAGGUUUCCGUAGGUGAACCUGCGGAAGGAUCAUUAUCGUGGGGCUCCGGCCCCGUCGAGAUGGAACCCUUGCCCUUUUCGAGCACCGUCCGUUUCCUCGGCAGGCCCGCCUGCCAACGGGGACAACCAAAAACCUUUGCAGUACCUGCCGUAGUCUGAACGAAAACAAGCAAUCAAAACUUUCAACAAUGGAUCUCUUGGUUCUG
rnacentral:misc_RNA from 1 species